AGUGAACGCUGGCGGUAGGCCUAACACAUGCAAGUCGAACGGCAGCACAGUAAGAGCUUGCUCUUACGGGUGGCGAGUGGCGGACGGGUGAGGAAUACAUCGGAAUCUACUUUUUCGUGGUGGAUAACGUAGGGAAACUUACGCUAAUACCGCAUACGACCUACGGGUGAAAGCAGGGGAUCUUCGGACCUUGCGCGAUUGAAUGAGCCGAUGUCGGAUUAGCUAGUUGGCGGGGUAAAGGCCCACCAAGGCGACGAUCCGUAGCUGGUCUGAGAGGAUGGACGCCGACUCUGGGACUGAGAAAGAGUUCAGUAUACUACAGCAGGCCAAAGAGGGGGAUAUUGGCCAGAGGGCGAAAGCCUGUCACAGCCAGACCGCGUGCGUGAAGAAGGCCUUCGGGUGCUAGAACACUUUUGUUGGGGAAGAAGAGCAGCAGGUUAAUACCCCGCUUUUCUGGCAGUACCCAACUAAUAAGCACGGGCUAACUACGUA
rnacentral:rRNA from 1 species